AUUGAACGCUGGCGGCAGGCUUAACACAUGCAAGUCGAGCGGGGAAGGGUAGCUUGCUACCUGACCUAGCGGCGGACGGGUGAGUAAUGCUUAGGAAUCUGCCUAUUAGUGGGGGACAACAUUCCGAAAGGAAUGCUAAUACCGCAUACGCCCUACGGGGGAAAGCAGGGGAUCUUCGGACCUCGCGCUAAUAGAUGAGCCUAAGUCAGAUUAGCUAGUUGGUGGGGUAAAGGCCUACCAAGGCGACGAUCUGUAGCGGGUCUGAGAGGAUGAUCCGCCACACUGGGACUGAGACACGGCCCAGACUCCUACGGGAGGCAGCAGUGGGGAAUAUUGGACAAUGGGCGAAAGCCUGAUCCAGCCAUGCCGCGUGUGUGAAGAAGGCCUUUUGGUUGUAAAGCACUUUAAGCGAGGAGGAGGCUACUUGGAUUAAUACUCUAGGAUAGUGGACGUUACUCGCAGAAUAAGCACCGGCUAACUCUGUGCCAGCCGCCGCGGUAA
rnacentral:rRNA from 1 species